AUAUUCUGACAGAUAAUUAAGAAAGCAGCAGCUUUUUCUAGACGGCUCUUCCUCAUGAUUUGCAUUUUAGCCAGAGGCGACCAGUUAUAAAAAAAACAUGAUGGAAAGAUGGUAAGAAGCCAAUUAGAUGGAUGGAUGGCUGACUGACAGCUCUCUGGUAUUACGACUCCAGAUUUCAGACUACAUAGCCUGGCAGUUUUCUACAAGAACCAACUUUUUUGCAGAAGGUCAUACAUAUGCUAUUGGAGAGUUCACAGCUAGCCCCUCACUACUCAAAUUGUGGGUGUUAUUGCCAGACUGCGGAGAUGCACAAGAAUUGACUUGAGAAGCAAGGAGAUUAUUCAUGCUCCUGCACACUCUGUUAUCUCUGGGAGCUCUUAAUCAAUGCAGGGUGAGAGCCAGUUAGCAUGACUGAGGUUAGGGUAAACGGGCUGUUCAGGGAAAGAUAAAUUAAAAUGUGAUUAUUAUUCAAAUUGGAAUAUAGAGAACAUAAUCCAUGAUGGAAGAGAAGGAGAAUAAUAGAAAUAAAUAAAAAUUUACCUACUGAAUCACUUGCUCUAUUGAAUCUAGUCCUUGAAAUUCCAAAGACAUUAUAAUAUGCUAUGACUAAAGGGAAUGAUUUGGGAGAUUUAUACUCUAUCUUUAUUGGCUCCUGCAGAUAUGCUGAAAUACAAAUUCUCACAUGCUGGAAAUGUCUACUAAAUGUACCUUGAUAUACAAAUUAAAUUCUCCUAUAGAAAACUGUACUGUACUCAAAAACCUAUAUACAAAUAAAAAGACUAAAUUCUAAAUAACA
rnacentral:lncRNA from 1 species